rnacentral:rRNA from 1 species
UACAGAGGGUGCGAGCGUUAAUCGGAAUUACUGGGCGUAAAGGGCGCGUAGGCGGUUUAUCAAGUGAGAUGUGAAAUCCCCGGGCUUAACCUGGGAACUGCAUCUUAAACUGAUAGGCUGGAGUACUGUAGAGGAUAGUGGAAUUUCCGGUGUAGCGGUGAAAUGCGUAGAGAUCGGAAGGAACAUCAGUGGCGAAGGCGACUGUCUGGACAGAUACUGACGCUGAGGCGCGAAAGCGUGGGGAGCGAACAGG